AAAUAAUCCCACCACUUAGGCCGCCUGAAUAAUUGGGACUACAGGCAUGCACCACCAUGCCCAGCUAAUUUUUUUUUAAUUUUACUUUUUGUAGAGACGGGCUCUCACUAGGUUGCCCUGGCUGCUCUGGAACUCCUGGCCUCAAGGAAUCCUUCCACCUCUGCCUCCCAAAGUGCUGGGAUUACAGACAUGAGCCACUGCACUCAACCAAAAUACCUGUGUUUUCCAUCAGAGUCAGCAGGAAAGACUCCAGCAGUCACGCACACUGCUACCACAGCUGUAGAGCCAGGUGACUGCUCAUGCCAAUCAGAGACAGAGGAACUGCAAGCGCAGCAUGCCGGACGGGAACCAGCCGCCUCACCUGUACUCUGUCCAGACAGCUCGGCCAAGAGACAAGCCUCUGUGGUCCCACCUUGCCAGAAGCUGCUGGGAGGUGCCAGAAAAUACAGUCUGGGUGCCUACACGAGUGAAAUUCCUGGGAGCAGAUUCUGUCCAAUGGAAGUCAGGAAACUAAACGAGCCAGGUGGGUGAAUUCUCCUUCUUUCAGUCCCCCUAGGAAUUGUUCUGAGAUGUAGUCACUUAUAUUUCACAGAACAAAUUUUUUUUUUUUUUGAGACAAGGUCUCACUCUGUACCCCAGGCUGGAGUGCGGUGGUGUGAUCACAGCUCACUGAAGCCUCGACCUUCUGGACUCAAGAGAUCCUCCCACCUCAGCCUUCCCUGUAGCCAGGACCACAAGUGUGCACUACCACACUAGGCUAAUUUUUAUAUUUUCUGUACAGACUGGGUCCGGCUAUGUUGCCCAGGCUUGUCUUGAACUCCUGAACUCAAGUGAUCCACCCACCAUGGCCUCCCUAACUGCUGGGAUUUACAAAUGUGAGCCACCAUGCCCAGCCAGAGCAAAUAAUUCUUGAACAAGCCAGGGCACUUUGUCAGAAUUGGCAGGAACACCGUUAACAAUUACACUGUGACAGUGAUAUAAGUGAACUAUCCCAGGCAAGCAAAAAUACAUGCUAAGCCUAUUCUUAACUUUCUCUGAGGAACUUCUAUGAGACCACAGUGCCCUGUGUUUGCUCUGCCUUCCUCUUUGACUUCGCCCUCACCCCUCCUUCCCUGGCAUUGCACUUCUCCAUGUGGGUGAGGAUGGAUUUUCCUCAGACUCUUGGGCUCAGGCAGUUGGUACCAGGAGAGUGGAUGGUCCUUCAGAUUUGGUUUGGAGUUGAUUAUUGCUCAUCAGUCUAAAGACAAUAAAACCCCCAUAGCUGGUAGAAAGUGGGGUGAUGGUAUCCCUGGAAUGUGAAACAAGCACUUGCUUCCAGAAGUUGGGAGAAGACCUCAUGGAGACCCCGAGCCUGCCCCCUAGCAGUUCCUUUUUGAGUUCAGUUGUCCAAUGCACGUAGGACACACCUGGUAAGGCACUUGGCUUCUUGCUGCUCUUCACACCUCCUGCCAGUGAGGAAGACUGGCAGUGUUUGGUCACCUGUUGGAAUCUCCCAGUCAUAUCUCAAACUUGGGAAUCCGAUUCUGCUCUGAGAUGGUUGUCAUCAUUGAGUGGGGCCUCCCAUGGGAUUCAGAGUGUCACGAGUUAUCCCUAAAUUCAAGCCAUUUGCCCUAACUGAUCUUAUGGCACUAUAAAUAUUAGCACUAUAGAUGUUCAUGUGAAGAUGGACUCCAUAUGAGGCUUCUGAUGGGUCCCAGUAGGUGACCCCACAAAGCAGAUUCUCACUGCAAAAUAUUUUUCACCAUUUAAAAAAUCAUUCCUGCCUCUCCUAGAGGCUGAGUGCCAGACCAUGAUUCCAAGUGACUGUGUGACUGGAGAUACUGAUUGUGAGGUGAGUUUUAUCAGAUUCUCCCGUUGAUUCCUUUGAACAGUAGCAGCUGUCCAAACAAGAAUAAAACAUGUAAGAUUAGACCUGAAAAGGUCCAGAAAUUAAAUUAAAUGGACAAGUGACCCAGGCUGCAUGGCCUCUCCCUCUGCUCUCUGAAUGCCUCGCUCUAUUCUGGACCACAAGGGGUUCUUCAUGAGCAAUUUACACCAGGUUCAAAGCCAAUGACACAAUGGUUUGAGCCAAUUUCACGUAUUUGUUGGUGUGAUACCUUGACACUAUCUAGAAAUGAACUACUGUAUAUUAUAACCCCACUGAAAGAUUAUCUCAAAGAACAGUCUUGAAAAAUAAAUUCUAUUAUUCGGUAGAAUUCUAAGCAGUACUCUUCCUUUGUUCAAAGGGGGUGAGUAAGCACCCUUAGAUAAGGACCCAUAUGGGAUCUGGGAAGCGGCAAAUGGCUCGGCUGUCUGUCCAGCAGCUUCUAGGGAACAGAACUGGAAUACAAGCGAUAAAGAACCUUAGAAAAUACAUAUGUGGGUGGAUUUGUGGGAGUAGGAACAAAUCUUAGAGCUUCUGUGUCUCAUGUUAUAAUCCAUCAGAGAACACCCAUCACGGAGAUGCUGAACAAACAUGUAUAAGGAGGACUUUUGCAGUUGAGGUCAGCCAGAUCCUGUCUGACUCUGAAUGCUAUGAAUCCACAACAGAGUGGCACUGGAGGCAGAAAUGAAGGUUGUAGACCUGUGCAACAGCAUGGGGCCCUCUCAUAGGCUCAUAUACUCAACUAACCACAGCAGGGUGCUCAGUAGGCCAGUGGCAUUGACUGACACUUAGCUGUUGAUGUGACGAUAUAUUUUGGAGAGAUCUGUCAAUAACCUGGUGGCAAGUUGAUUAUACCUCAGAAGAAAUUGUUGUUUAUCCUUAUUGAAAUCAGUUCAUACCCUGGAUAUAAGCUUGCCUUUUCUACCACAGUGCCUCUGCAAUUCCUGAUCUGUUUGGCAUGAUAUUUGAUACAUUUGCCUCAGAACCAGAAACCUAUUUUGUGGCAAAGGGAGGAGAGAG
rnacentral:lncRNA from 1 species